CCAGACUCCUACGGGAGGCAGCAGUGGGGGAUAUUGCACAAUGGGGGAAACCCUGAUGCUGCGACGCCGCGUGAGUGAAGAAGUAUUUCGGUAUGUAAAGCUCUAUCAGCAGGGAAGAGAAUGACGGUACCUGAGUAAGAAGCCCCGGCUAACUACGUGCCAGCAGCCGCGGUAAUACGUAGGGGGCAAGCGUUAUCCGGAUUCACUGGGUGUAAAGGGAGCGUAGACGGCCAUGCAAGCCUGGAGUGAAAGCCCGGGGCCCAACCCCGGGACUGCUCUGGGAACUGUGCGGCUGGAGUGCGGGAGGGGCAGGCGGAAUUCCUGGUGUAGCGGUGAAAUGCGUAGAUAUCAGGAGGAACACCGGCGGCGAAGGCGGCCUGCUGGACCGCGACUGACGUUGAGGCCCGAAAGCGUGGGGAGCAAACAGGAUUAGAUACCCCCGUACCA
rnacentral:rRNA from 1 species